CACGGCUUUCAUCUUUCAGGAUUCUACCGUCUAUUCUCAACAGAACGACUUCCACGCCAAAGAAAAACACCCUCCCGAAAAUACACUGCGGCUCUACGUGUUAGGGAUUACACACCAGCGGCCGGAGCGCCGGGACCAUCUCCAGGGAAGCCAGCUUCGCAGGCGGAAAGGGAUCCAGAAACGCCAGCCGCCGCGGCGAAUCGGAGCUCGAGGCGCCCGUCAGGGCAGAAGGGAAGCCCGGCGCCGCGCCCUCCAGCCGCGCGCAGCUCAAGUCCGACGCCCCGCGCCGCGCUCUCCCCAGGGACCGAGCCCCGGAACCACGACCACUAACGGAACCAGCCCACCGGCGGCAGCAGCCGCUCGGACUGCGGACGGCGACGCGCGGCCGGGGCGCCAGGAGGGCGGGGGUUCCCCGGAGGAGCUGGCCGCCCCAGCGCCCCAUUGGGCGCCGCUCCAAACGUGCCCGAGUGGUGACAGGAAUAAAAGUGGGUCACAAGGCCUAGCGGGUCCCGGGCGAAAGCCCUCGCGGCACCAGGCUAGCUUUCCCGGACGCACGGCCGCUGGAACCGGCUGGAACCCGGUCACCCUCCGGUCACCGGGGCCCGCCGCGCACCCCAAUCCCGCCCCUGCCCCGCAGGUUGCGAAGAUUCCUGGACCACCAGUGACCCUGGAGGCGCGCGUCUUCGAGUGCUUCUUACUGGCUGGUGGUUGGGCUGGAGAGACAGGACCGGCACCUUCAGCCGCAGCAGUGGGGCAAGAGGUCUGGAUGUAUUUGCUCAUUUGCAGUUUCCCCGCUGGCCUUUUAGUGAAAACCAAGUGACAGUGUAAUGAAAGACUUGGGUGCAGGGAUGGGGAGUUGUGGACACUUGCUCUGUUUUUGUUUUGUUUUGUUUUGUUUUGGUUAGAACAGCGUGUGAAUAUUUACAGCUUACCUGGGGAGAGAGGUGAAAUUACUUCCCCCGAUGCUUGAAAUACAAUUGGUCCACGUGAAAAAAAAAAAAUCAGAGUCGAAGAACUUAAUCCAGAUCCCUGAUCUUUCACCUGAGCAUUUUUCUUCGGGAAGUGGAAAAGCAUGAUUUAUUAAUUACUCCAUUUAGUAGAAGGAAUUUUAAUAGACGUUUCUGUUUGUUCCGCAUUCACUCCCAUUCUGAUAAUUUCAUUUGGAGAACUAUCGUCCCUCUACCCAGUCCAUAUGGUCUGGAAAGGACAUCAGGGGGAAGGUAUAUUUGAGUUGAUCUGGGAUGUUACCUCUUUUCCAGUGGAUCUGAAUCUGAAAGAAUGGAGGACUGGAGCCAGCUUUUCAUGCAUGAUUAAUGAGAAAGUACCCUGGGGCGGGGGCGGGGUGGUGCAGAUUCAAAGAUGGAUAUUUGGCCUAAAGUCAUGUUUGAUGUCACGGAAACCAUUGUAAACUAGGUUGCUCUGGAAAUUUCAAUUAAAAUAAUAAAUUCUUGGAUGUGUUUUAUUGCUAGAACCAGUGACAAGUUUUCUGUCACCCGCAAUUAAGAGUCCUAAUACUGUUAGGUAGCAAGAGAAUAAUACUGAUGAAAUAGGUUGCAGCCAGACAAGAGAGUUUAAAUGUUUCUAGGGUCUGAUGUUUGGAUUUUAUCCUGAAGACAGUGAUCACUCUUCAUAUUUCACAUCCUCUAGUAUACAUAUUUCAAAAAUACCUUUGCCCUUUUUAGUGGCUUCAUUGACCUCUUAGUCACCAGAAUCAAACUAUGUUCAUGUGACUCCUCCCUUUUUCAUAUUCUGUGUUUAAUUAUUUACAAGACCUGUUGAUAAUCUCAUUUUUCUGCUCAGUCCUCUGCCACUGCUCAUAUAUUUCCCAUAGUUCAGUUCAAAACUCCUUUCUCCCCAUAUUCUUUCCCAGAAAAAAGUUAUUCCUAAUGGUUUUUCCAAUUUUCCCACUCCUGUUUCCAUUAAACAAAAAUACUGUCUCAUGGUUUCAUAGAUCCUAAAUUAAUGUCCUCCAGCCUAAACACAAUUUUUUGUGUAAUUCAGAUAUUCUGUUCACUCCAUGUAUGCCUUGCUAUCACUUAAACUAAUCAUUUCCAACUCUUUUCAACUUCCCUGUUAUUCUUUAAUUUCUUCAUCUGUAAAAUGAGGAUAAUAAGUCCAUCUCAUGAGAUAAUUGGAAGAAGAUUGGGGGGGGCGUGUAUAAUGAUACCUGGCACAUACGAAAUCCAUUAAAGUAUUUUCCAUUUUUUUAAUCAAUGAUUUUUUUCUAUAAUUCCCUUAUCUCCUUUGCUCAGAUUCUUCCUCUAUCUCCUAUGUUCCAUCAGUCACAAAUUGUGUCUAUUCU
rnacentral:lncRNA from 1 species